rnacentral:lncRNA from 1 species
UAUCAACAGAGUAGGUCCAGUUUGGGCUGGUCCCACAGCUACACAUGUUCCAGCCACCGAAAGACUGUGGGUAAAACAUCUGUUGAAUAAAACCUAACAUGAGCUACAGAUGUGUGUCAUACAAGUAAACAUGGCAUUUGUAAUUUUAAACUUUAUAGCAGUCACAUUAAAAAAGAAGAUAAAAUUAAUUUCAAUAAUAUAUUUGAUUCAGCCCCAAAUAUCCCAGAAUCCAUUGUUUUAAUGUGUAAUUAGUAUAAAAUAUUAAGGGUACACUUUAUUUUUCUUUUUUUCUUUUUUCUUUUUUGUUUUGAAACAGAGUCUUGUUGCCCAGGCUGGAGUGUAGUGGUGUAAUCUCAGCUCACUGCAGCAUCUGCCUCCUGGAUUCAAGCAAGUCUCAUGCCUCAGAAGAAUCCCCCAGUAGCUGGGAUUACAGGAAGACAAGGAAAGUGUUCCGUACCAUUUCACCACUGAGGAAACUGAGUCUAGAGGAGUUACAUUUUCUGCUGAAGAUCACAUAGCCAAUGGAACUUGUUUCUGCCUCCCAGACAAUUUUCUGCUGUCAUCUCAAGGAGGUGAGUCAGACAUUUCUCCUGGACUCCCAUAUACUGAUGACAUCCAAUAUUUUGCAAAUGGAAAUAUGCAAGAAAGGUGCUCAUAAAUAAAUAAUGAACACUGCUCAUCAUGAUUUUCUGUGGCGCUUUCUCACUGUCCCAAGUGCUAUAAGGCCAGCCUAAUGAGCCUCUUGUGACCACAGGAGGAACACGGUUCAGAGACGGUAAGUGCUUUUUAUUGAGAUGUAUAAUUUCCCUCUUAAAUUCAUUAAAAGUUUCUAAAACAAAUAAAUAAAACAUAAUUGAUACAGAUCCAGCCUCCUUUUCUUCCAUAGAUCAUUAAGAAGUUGUAAUUGCUUCUCAGCCCUCAGGAAGCUCUCAUCUCUAAGAAUAGAGUGUUAGUUGUGACUCCCUGGCAAUUGUUAUUAUUCUGAGAAAUUAAUUUACUCUAAUUAGUUUUAAGCCCAUUAACAGAAAUAGAAAGCCAUGCAAGGAAAGGGAGGUCUGAAAACAACAUUUUCCUCAGCCCAUUGUAAGAACUUUCCAUGUGCUUAACAAUUUGGCCAGUGGAAUUCAAACCUUGUUAAAAUCCAAACAAAACACAUAUAAAUCAAGAUAUAACUAGUAUGGCUCCUAAACGGCACAUUAGCU